rnacentral:rRNA from 1 species
CAGCAGCCGCGGGAAUACGUAGGUGGCAAGCGUUGUCCGGAAUUAUUGGGCGUAAAGGGCUCGCAGGCGGUUUCUUAAGUCUGAUGUGAAAGCCCCCGGCUCAACCGGGGAGGGUCAUUUGAAACUGGGAAACUUGAGUGCAGAAGAGGAGAGUGGAAUUCCACGUGUAGCGGUGAAAUGCGUAGAGAUGUGGAGGAACACCAGUGGCGAAGGCGACUCUCUGGUCUGUAACUGACGCUGAGGAGCGAAAGCGUGGGGAGCGAACAGGAUUAGAUACCCGCGUAGUCCCUGUCUCUUAUAC